rnacentral:rRNA from 1 species
GGAUUAGAUACCCUAGUAGUCCACGCCGUAAACGAUGAGUACUAAGUGUUGGAUGUCAAAGUUCAGUGCUGCAGUUAACGCAAUAAGUACUCCGCCUGAGUAGUACGUUCGCAAGAAUGAAACUCAAAGGAAUUGACGGGGGCCCGCACAAGCGGUGGAGCAUGUGGUUUAAUUCGAAGCAACGCGAAGAACCUUACCAGGUCUUGACAUACUCAUAAAGGCUCCAGAGAUGGAGAGAUAGCUAUAUGAGAUACAGGUGGUGCAUGGUUGUCGUCAGCUCGUGUCGUGAGAUGUUGGGUUAAGUCCCGCAACGAGCGCAACCCUUAUCGUUAGUUACCAUCAUUAAGUUGGGGACUCUAGCGAGACUGCCAGUGACAAGCUGGAGGAAGGCGGGGAUGACGUCAAAUCAUCAUGCCCCUUAUGACCUGGGCUACACACGUGCUACAAUGGAUGGUGCAGAGGGAAGCGAAGCCGCGAGGUGAAGCAAAACCCAUAAAACCAUUCUCAGUUCGGAUUGUAGUCUGCAACUCGACUACAUGAAGUUGGAAUCGCUAGUAAUCGCGAAUCAGCAUGUCGCGGUGAAUACGUUCUCGGGCCUUGUACACACCGCCCGUCACACCACGAGAGUUGAUAACACCCGAAGCCGGUGGCCUAACCGCAAGGAAGGAGCUGUCUAAGGUGGGAUUGAUGAUUGGGGUG